rnacentral:rRNA from 1 species
AGAGUUUGAUCCUGGCUCAGGACGAACGCUGGCGGCGCGCCUAACACAUGCAAGUCGAACGAGCGAGAGAAAGCUUGCUUUCUCAAGCGAGUGGCGAACGGGUGAGUAACGCGUGAGGAACCUGCCUCAAAGAGGGGGACAACAGUUGGAAACGACUGCUAAUACCGCAUAAGCCCACAGGUCGGCAUCAACCAGAGGGAAAAGGAGCAAUCCGCUUUGAGAUGGCCUCGCGUCCGAUUAGCUAGUUGGUGAGGUAAUGGCCCACCAAGGCAACGAUCGGUAGCCGGACUGAGAGGUUGAACGGCCACAUUGGGACUGAGACACGGCCCAGACUCCUACGGGAGGCAGCAGUGGGGAAUAUUGCACAAUGGGGGAAACCCUGAUGCAGCGACGCCGCGUGGAGGAAGAAGGUCUUCGGAUUGUAAACUCCUGUUGUUGAGGAAGAUAAUGACGGUACUCAACAAGGAAGUGACGGCUAACUACGUGCAGCAGCCGCGGUAAAACGUAGGUCACAAGCGUUGUCCGGAAUUACUGGGUGUAAAGGGAGCGCAGGCGGGAAGACAAGUUGGAAGUGAAAUCUAUGGGCUCAACCCAUAAACUGCUUUCAAAACUGUUUUUCUUGAGUAGUGCAGAGGUAGGCGGAAUUCCCGGUGUAGCGGUGGAAUGCGUAGAUAUCGGGAGGAACACCAGUGGCGAAGGCGGCCUACUGGGCACCAACUGACGCUGAGGCUCGAAAGUGUGGGUAGCAAACAGGAUUAGAUACCCUGGUAGUCCACACCGUAAACGAUGAUUACUAGGUGUUGGAGGAUUGACCCCUUCAGUGCCGCAGUUAACACAAUAAGUAAUCCACCUGGGGAGUACGACCGCAAGGUUGAAACUCAAAGGAAUUGACGGGGGCCCGCACAAGCAGUGGAGUAUGUGGUUUAAUUCGACGCAACGCGAAGAACCUUACCAAGUCUUGACAUCCUGCGACGGACAUAGAAAUAUGUCUUUCCUUCGGGACGCAGAGACAGGUGGUGCAUGGUUGUCGUCAGCUCGUGUCGUGAGAUGUUGGGUUAAGUCCCGCAACGAGCGCAACCCUUACUGUCAGUUACUACGCAAGAGGACUCUGGCAGGACUGCCGUUGACAAAACGGAGGAAGGUGGGGAUGACGUCAAAUCAUCAUGCCCCUUACGACCAGGGCUACACACGUGCUACAAUGGCGUAAACAAAGGGAAGCGAGACCGCGAGGUGGAGCAAAUCCCAAAAAUAACGUCUCAGUUCGGAUUGUAGUCUGCAACUCGACUACAUGAAGCUGGAAUCGCUAAUAAUCGCGAAUCAGAAUGUCGCGGUGAAUACGUUCCCGGGUCUUGUACACACCGCCCGUCACACCAUGGGAGUCAGUAACGCCCGAAGUCAGUGACCUAACCGUAAGGAAGGAGCUGCCGAAGGUGGGACCGAUAACUGGGGUGAAGUCGUAACAAGGUA